UAGUCCAUGCUGUAAACGAUGAUUACUCGAUGCUAUGUUUUAUUAUGUAGUGUUCAAGCGAAAGUGAUAAGUAAUCCACCUGGGGAGUACGUUCGCAAGGAUGAAACUCAAAGGAAUUGACGGGGGGCCCGCACAAGCGGUGGAGCAUGUGGUUUAAUUCGAUGAUACGCGAGGAACCUUACCAGAGUUUGAAAGUUAGUGCAUAAUUGUGAAAGCAGUUAGUCCUUCGGGACACGAAACUAGGUGCUGCAUGGUUGUCGUCAGCUCGUGCCGUGAGGUGUUAGGUUAAGUCCUGCAACGAGCGCAACCCCUACUAUUAGUUACCAUCAGGUUAUGCUGGGGACUCUAAUGGAACUGCCCGUUUAAACGGUGAGGAAGGUGGGGAUGACGUCAAAUCAUCACGGCCCUUACGCUCUGGGCUACACACGUGCUACAAUGGUCGGUACAGAGGGCAGCCACUCAGUGAUGAGGCGCUAAUCCUUAAAGCCGAUCACAGUUCGGAUCGG
rnacentral:rRNA from 1 species